GACGAACGCUGGCGGCGUGCUUAACACAUGCAAGUCGAACGGUGAAGGGACUGGUUUUGCUGGUCCUGGAUGAGUGGCGAACGGGUGAGUAACACGUGAGUAACCUGCCCCCUUCUUCUGGAUAACCGCAUGAAAGUGUGGCUAAUACGGGAUAUUCUGGGUCUGUCGCAUGGUGGGCCUGGGAAAGAUUGCGCCUUUUUUGGUGUUUUUGGUGGGGGAUGGGCUCGCGGCCUAUCAGCUUGUUGGUGGGGUGAUGGCCUACCAAGGCGGUGACGGGUAGCCGGCCUGUGAGGGUGGGCGGUCACACUGGGACUGAGACACGGCCCAGACUCCUACGAGAGGCAGCAGUGGGGAAUAUUGCACAAUGGGCGCAAGCCUGAUGCAGCGACGCCGCGUGAGGGAUGGAGGCCUUCGGGUUGUGAACCUCUUUCGCCAGUGAAGCAGGCCUGCCUCUUUUUGUGGGUGGGUUGACGGUAGCUGGAUAAGAAGCGCCGGCUAACUACGUG
rnacentral:rRNA from 1 species